rnacentral:lncRNA from 1 species
CAACCCAAAACAAUUACAGCCCAAAAAACCUUAACACAAAAAAUAAACCCUAGCCCCCUAAACUGCUGCUGCCUCUGCCAUCAGUCCCAUCCCGCCGCCCCAGUCACAUCUCCUGCAAGCACCGCCACUGUGCCACCGCCCACUUGUACCUGCAGCAUUAAAAGGGAAAGAGCAAUGCGCAGAGAAGAAGAUCUGAAAAAAUAGGCUAUAAAAGCCACAAUGGGGAUCGGGUGUAAGGGUUGGAUUUUUAGGCUCUUAAUUUUCAUUCCAUUCGAAAUAUAUCAAGGAGAUUAACAAUCAAAAAGGCUUUGUAACACAAACAUGAACUUGCAACACAGAAUUUCGAAGACCGAUCUAAAGGUCUAUCUACUGUUUUUUUUUAUUUAUUAUUUUGCCCUUUCUUUUACUCUUUCUUUGAACAUUAUUAGCACAUAUUAUUUAUGUUUAUUAAAACAACAUGCAUCAUUAAAUAAAUAUAUAAAACAAGAAAAAAAUUGAAAAUUUUAUACCUGAGGUGAUUUCCGGCCACCGUGUAAGGUGGCCGGAGAGACGGGGCCACGGCGGCAUUCGUCCUGCACCUCGCCGGCUUCUGGGCUGACAGACUGAGAGAGGGAGAGAGGAUUUGGGUUUUUUUUGAAGGAG